CUAAAGCACUUGUGAUCAGUCCUCUCAGAAUGGAUGUUAACACCGGGUCUGAAUAGCGCCUGCUUUUAAUUGGAUUUUAAGUUGUAAGUUGACCUGAGUCAGGCUUCAUGAUGUGUAAGAUAUAGACUGAUAAUUCACAAAAACUGUAUUCUUGUGUUUUAAGCUGCUGACAAAGCUGGCUCAAGUCUGCGAGACCUUGAAACUCAAGUGGUAAACUGUGGGAGCGUUUCUGAUUCGGACAACAUUUGCACUUAUGCCGUUAACCUUCAAGAGGGGGAUCAGGGCAGCCCUCUGCUCUGUAAAUCAGACUCCUCUUGGUUCCAGGCGGCCUUUGUCACAAUGAGUGGGAAUAAAUCGGUGCGGGCAGAUAUUCAGUCAUUUGCCAAAACCUCAAGAUUCGGGUCAUUCUUAAAGGAGACAGUUGGUGAUUUGCCAUCUCCUGAAACGUCCCCAACAGCAAAUGCAGCAGAAAAAGCCUUUUCCUUGUUCUUUAGUUUUGCUGUCCUUAUUACCUCCAUGUUCCUGUUGUAAUGAUAUGGUAUUAGUUGAAGCUGCGUGAAAUAGUCCAAUACUAUGAACGCACUUACAAUACUCAGGUCGAACAAAAGAGAAAACACACUGAGGCAUUUCCAAUCAAAUCUUUAUAUAUCUAACAGAAGGUAUUUUACUGUAAGAAAUCUGUAGACAAAUUGUACUGCAAAAUGCAAAUUCUUUCAAAAUGUGUUAAUCCAUCUGAAUGAGGUACAGUGUUUAUUCUCUGUUCCAUCAAACCUUGUCUAUUUUCUUUGAUCACAUUUUAAAAGUCGUAUCAAGUCUUGAAAUAAAUAGGAAUGAAGUAUAAAACAAAUCUUUUUCUAGUUCGUUCCGAAAACAAAGCAAUUCAGUUUAGCAAGAGAAGCUACUCCUAAGCAUAUUUCAUUGCAGCAGUUUUGAUGAUAAGCAGAAGCCAGCCGAUCCAAGUGCAUUUUGUUUUUUUCACUUCCACCUAAAAAACACAAAGGAACACAGAUAAUUUUCAGGAAUAAUAAACAAAUUGUUGCGGCUUGAUAGCAUGUAAGAGGACUGUUGGGGCUUAGCAGUGGUAUAUGUGCCAAUUAUGUUUAUUGUUCUGGCAUGGCUGAAGCUUCAUCCGCCCCUGGUUCUGCUGCUGCUUCUGCCUCAUUCAUCAUUUCUUUGUA